rnacentral:rRNA from 1 species
AAUGAACGCUGGCGGCGUGGAUAAGACAUGCAAGUCGAACGAAAAGUUUAUUAGUUUACUAAUUAAACUUUUAGUGGCGGACGGGUUAGUAACACGUGAGCAACCUACCUUGAAGAGGGGGAUAGUCCUGGGAAACUGGGUUUAAUACCGCAUAAUCUCUACGGAGAAAAGAUGGCUUCGGCUAUCGCUUUAAGCUGGGCUCGCGUCCUAUCAGCUAGUUGGUGAGGUAACGGCUCACCAAGGCGACGACGGGUAGCUGUUCUGAGAGGAAGAUCAGCAACACUGGAACUGAGACACGGUCCAGACACCUACGGGUGGCAGCAGUCGAGAAUCAUUCACAAUGGACGAAAGUCUGAUGGUGCAACGCCGCGUGGAGGAUGAAGGCCUUAGGGUCGUAAACUCCUGUCAUCUAGGAGUAAGUCAUAGAAGUUAAUAACUAUCUAUGAUUGAUAGUACUAGAAGAGGAAGGGACGGCUAACUUCG